GAAAAAGGAAGAUAUUCCCAGAUAAACAAAAGCUGAAGAAGUUGUCACGACCAGACCUGCCCCACAAGAAAUGUUAGAGAGUCAUGCAGGCUGGUAAAGAAAGGACAACAGAUGACAGGAAUUCAGAGCCACAUGGUAAAAUAAAAGCCACAGGGAAACCAGCUGCCAUGUUGUGAAUUGCGCUAUGGAAAGACCCAUGUGGCACAGAACCGAGGUCUCUGGCCAGCAGCCCUCAAGGAAUCCUGCCAACAGCCAUGAGAGUAAGCUUGGAAGAGGAUCUUCCCUCAGUAGACCCUUGAGAAAAGGCCACAGACCUGGCUAACUCCUAGAUAGCAGCCUGUAAGAGAACCUGAGCUAGAAGCACUCAGCUAAGCCAUGUCUGGAUUCUUGACCUGCAGAAACUGUGAGAUAAUAAAUGUUCCUUAUUUUAAGCCACUAAGUUUUGAAGUAAUUUGUAAUACAGCAAUGGAAAACUCAUACAGUAACCAAUCAAAAAUGCCUUUCAGAAUCCUACAUUUUUUUGAAAAAUCUUUUCCUUCUUGCCCUAUAUAUGUCCUUCACGCUACAAGUCACUUUUUGGCCUUUAUUGUUCUUUAAAAGUCUACUAUUUUUCAGGCAAUAUGCUGGUCUAGAGAAUCAUUAUCACGAUUCCCA
rnacentral:lncRNA from 1 species